rnacentral:lncRNA from 1 species
CACGAUCCCGACUUCCAAAACUUCCAAACGAACGUCCCCGAGCUUCCUUAAGACCUCACUAAGCUCACUGUGAGCUUAGAAUUCCCUGAAAAUCAACAUAACACGAUUGCAUGAACAGUGACAUAAACUGGGGUUCGGGUUUCACGUGAUUUCGAAGGUUUCACGUCCUAAAACUAGCACCAUUCAACUCAGGACGACGAAAGGAUGAAGAACCAUACCUUUUUAGCUUCGAUCCGUGGAAGUUCGAAGGAAUUUGGUCUCAUCCAUACGGUUCGAGAGUGAGAGAGUGAGAGAGAGUCAUGAGGGAAGAGAGAGAGGCACGGGGGAGGAAGAGAGAUGAAGGAAGUGUGUGUGUGUGUGUGAUCCAACACAAUCCUCACCAUCCAUUCAACUUCAUCCCUAACCACACAAUUCACAAACUCAUUUAAUCCAACUUAAUAUUUUUUAUAAAAUCUUAUGAAAUAAUUGUAUUUAGCCCAAAAGAUAUGUCACACACACACAUACCUUAAUACCCGUCAAGGGUAAUUCCGUCAUUUCACCUCCCCGAUAUGAAAAUCUCGGGACGGGCUGUGACCCCUUUUUUUUUUUUUUGAAAUUUGAUUCCCUGAACUUGUUAAACCGAUCUCUUACACGCAAAUGCGUAACUUACACAAAAAUAGACAUAUAGUUAAUGAAAAAGAAACAAACAAUUAAAUGCAUGAUACAUCAUAAAACCAACACAAAAAUUGGCAAAACGGUGGUAAUAGAAUUAUGAUGGUUAAUUUUAAUUAAAAGCGGUUCUCCUACCAUUCAAAAACCCUAAACUCACAUUCAAAUUAAAACUACAUCCUAGAAAUUUUCAAUUUCCAGCGUAAGAAUUAGGUCAUAAACUCGUAUAGUUUUCAAAUGCAUACUUCUUUAAUCAGCAGGAUGAGGACAAGCCGUUUGAAAUGUAAAUUAUACUGAUGAGAUUCACAUUGAACUUGGCAUAUAAAUUUACCUAAUCCAUAUAUUGAGAUAAUAUAAAUUAAUGAAAGAAGAUAAUUUUACAUUUUCCUCCACCCUUUCGUAAAAGCAGUAGUGCAACCAACCAAUGGUUGGACCAAAUAGUGCUAUGCAAUAUUAUUAUUACACAGCUGAUUACUCUCUUCCAACGUGUUCUCUAAAUUUUUUACAAUGAUAAUAAAACUAUUCUAUGGUUCUCCUAAAUUAUUUGGUUCAAACAACUUCAUUUUUCAUGAUACCAAACCUAAUUAUAUAGCACAGGCUUAUAUAUAUAUGCAAUAAUCCAAAACACGAACACACACAAAAAAAGAGAAAAAAGAAGAUGAAAGAGUUUAAAGGAAACCACCAAAAUCAUGGAUCUUAAUCAAAUUGUUUAGCUAUCCAAAAAAGGUUCUUACAUACACAAAAUAUGCUUAAUUGGGAAGCUAGAUUCACGAGUUGGUUAUCUGGUAAACUGUCUUAGUCCAUAUGCUGAAGCUCUGGUUGGUCCUGUUGGGUAUCUUUGUACAACUGAAGGGGCCGGUCUCCUUCGCUGCUGGUCCCAACUGAUUGGGAACGUGAUGUUGUGAUCAAGAAUGCCAUUCUUAAGUACAAUUUUUAACCUAUGCACCAACCUUUUGUUUUGUUUUGAGUUUAAUCAAGCCUACGUUCUAUUUAAUUUUGUUCUAUCUAGUGCACGUCUAUGGUUUUUAAUUAUGUCUUUCUCCAUCAUUAAUGAAACUUUGCAGCCGAAAGGUAGCCAAUCUCUCCACUUUGGCCUCAACUUGGUAGCUAAUUAAUUUAUGAAAAAAUACUUGUAAAUUAAAUUUUGGUCAAUUUAUACUAGCCUACAAAGUAACUAACUCUAACCUUCUAACAAACUCUUACUAGACCAAUCUCCAGCAUUCAAUUAUAAACCAAUCUCCACCAUACAUCUAUUAAUAUGUAUAAGUAUCUUAAUUUGUAAAUAUAGUAUCGUUUGUAAAAGAAAAAAAUUAUCAUUUUUUUUUAUUAUACCCCCCUCUCUUUUGUUCGAUAAAAAUCAGCAGCUAGCAGCUUUCUAUAUACCUUUUUUUGAAAUGAAGCAAACAAGAACAAGCAGCUCCCAUUUCAAGAUAACAAUUGAGCACAUCCUGCUUAAUUUAUACAGAUGGAUGGUUUUCUAUCAAAAACUUUUGUAAUAGAUUGAUUAUAAAGAUUAUGCUGAGCAAUCGAUAGCCUCUUGCGUG